rnacentral:piRNA from 1 species
UGCACAUGUGCAUAUGGAGAUCAGAAGUU